rnacentral:rRNA from 1 species
AGUGAACGCUGGCGGUAGGCCUAACACAUGCAAGUCGAACGGCAGCACAGUAAGAGCUUGCUCUUACGGGUGGCGAGUGGCGGACGGGUGAGGAAUACAUCGGAAUCUACUUUUUCGUGGGGGAUAAUGUAGGGAAACUUACGCUAAUACCGCAUACGACCUACGGGUGAAAGCAGGGGAUCUUCGGACCUUGCGCGAUUGAAUGAGCCGAUGUCGGAUUAGCUAGUUGGCGGGGUAAAGGCCCACCAAGGCGACGAUCCGUAGCUGGUCUGAGAGGAUGAUCAGCCACACUGGAACUGCGACACGGUCCAGACUCCUACGGGAGGCGGCAGUGGGGAAUAUUGGACAAAGGGCGCAAGCCUGAUCCAGCCAUACCGCGUGGGUGAAGAAGGCCUUCGGGUUGUAAAGCCCUUUUGUUGGGAAAGAAAAGCAGCAGGUUAAUACCCCGCUGUUCUGACGGUACCCAAAGAAUAAGCACCGGCUAACUUCGUG